ACGUAAUUAAGAUUUAAAAUCCAGUUUCAUUAUUAAUCUUCGUCAUCCAAUCUGAGAAAUGCAUGUUUUAAUUUAUCCAUAUGAACUAUUCUUGUUUUAGUUUGACUGAUUUGCAGUUCAACAUUGUUAUCUCUGAAAAUUUGAUUUAUUAAAAAGGGACCAAUAUAGUGAUCAUCAAACUUGUUAGUUCUUGGUUCCUUGAGUAGGUAGACAUAUUGUCCUACCUUAAAAUUCUUUGUAUUCAGUUUACGGUCAUAGUAUUUUUUACAUCAUCUUUUUGCAGCUUCUAGUCUAGAGAUAACCGUCGAUUGGGUCUCAGAUAACCUGAUCAAUAAAUUGUCAACCAAUUCUAUGUAAGUAAGCGGUACCUUUUCUUUUGCGAAUUCAGAGGGAAGCCUAGCUUUAUUACCAAAGACAACUUCGUAAGGUGUAAAUCCAGUUGACUCAUGAAGUGAAGUAUUGAAAGAAAACAUUGCAAAUGGUAACCAAAGAUCCCAAUUAACCUGUGUACAAUAAUGUUUCAGAUAUUCGAUGAAUGUGUGAUGACUUCUCUCGAGGGAUCCUAACGAUUGUGGAUGGAAAGAGGUUGAUUUGAACUGUCUGAUCUUGAAGAUUUUGGCAAUGUUAAUCAUAAUCGCACUGAGGAACUGGCUACCUUGGUCAGUUUAAAUAGAUUCGGGACAUCCAUAUAAGCAAAUGAAAGCUUCUGCGAAUGCGAUAGCAAUAGUAGGUGCUUCAACAUUGGACAAAGAGAUGCCUCCCGAAUAUUUCGAUAAACAAUCCUGCCAGAUGGAGUUCUGACUGUUCCGGCACAAACAGUUAUCUGAUAAUCUUCCUUUCCAAAUCACGUCUUCCCGAGGCAUCGAUCCUUUCCACGUUGCGCCUGGACCCAAGACGUUUAUACUUCGCAAAAGGCCUGCGUUCCCCUCAACGGAACUGUUCCCAUUAGGGUUCGCUCCUAGAGUUGAUACGCUUCCUCUGCGCGCAUCUUUCCCGAAGGAUGUGCAACUUAAGGUACACACCUCCCUGUGAGCGGGCUUCACACCCGCAACACAGCUUUCCCCAGGGGGAGCUCUCAUACAUUGAGAUAUAUAACUAGUCGCUGAGGCGACCGAGCCACUCACAUUUGAAGGAACACACGUUCUACCAAAAGGUCGUCUUCAGGGAGUUCGGAUUCUGCAGCGGGUAACGGAUCAUGCACGAUCAGCACCCGAUGAUCAGUUUCCUCAGGAUGUUCAGUGGAAUCUACAGGACUUCUUGAAAGUGCAUCAGCAUUUGCAUUUAAAGAACCAGGCUUGUAAUCAAACUCAUAAUCGUACUCACUGAGCCAUAUUUUCCAACGAGCAAGCCUUGAAGCAGGGUCUUUGAGAUUAUGAAGCCAGGUUAAUGAACGAUGAUCAGUAAUCAAGUGGUGGAAUAGUUCAUCUCUGCGGCAUUUAAGGUACGGGAUGCAUAUGCAAUCGAGAGAUCUUUACCUACAGGUCCUUGGCUCAAUACAGCGCCCAAGGCAUAUCCGGAUGCGUCUGUUGUGAUAACAAAUGGUCGAGUAAAGUCAGGGUACUACAAUAAUGGUUGAGAGCAUAGAAUCUUCUUUAUUUCGUUAAACGAAUUUUCUUGUGCCUCCCUCCACUGGAAUUCAGUCAUCUUGUUCAGCAAUAUUGUUAAAGGAUUGUGGCAAAAUUUGGAAUAAAUCGUCUGUAAUAACCGGCUAACCCCAAAA